UACCAGCUCUCCGAGUGGCGUGGAUGUUUAUUGGGCCUAAAGCAUCCGUAGCUGGCUGGACAAGUCCCCUGUUAAAUCCACCGAUUUAAUCGUUGGUGUGCGGGGGAUACUGUUCGGCUAGGGGACGGGAGAGGCCGACGGUAUUUCCGGGGUAGGGGUGAAAUCCUAUAAUCCCGGGAAGACCACCAGUGGCGAAGGCUGUCUGCUAGAACGCGCCCGACGGUGAGGGAUGAAAGCUGGGGGAGCGAACCGGAUUAGAUACCCGGGUAGUCCCAGCUGUAAACGAUGCAGGCUAGGUGUUUGGGCGGCCACGUGCCGCUCUAGUGCCGCAGGGAAGCCGUUAAGCCUGCCGCCUGGGGAGUACGGCCGCAAGGCUGAAACUUAAAGGAAUUGGCGGGGGAGCACCACAAGGGGUGAAGCUUGCGGUUU
rnacentral:rRNA from 1 species